UACGGGGGGAGCAAGCGUUGUUCGGAUUUACUGGGCGUAAAGGGCGCGUAGGCGGCCAGCACAAGUCAGUUGUGAAAUCUCCGAGCUUAACUCGGAAAGGUCAACUGAUACUGUGCGGCUAGAGUGCGGAAGGGGCAACUAGAAUUCUUGGUGUAGCGGUGAAAUGCGUAGAUAUCAAGAGGAACACCUGCGGCGAAGGCGGGUUGCUGGGCCGACACUGACGCUGAUGCGCGAAAGCUAGGGGAGCGAACGGG
rnacentral:rRNA from 1 species